rnacentral:rRNA from 1 species
AUGAACGCUGGCGGCGUGCCUAAUACAUGCAAGUCGAGCGAACAGACGAGGAGCUUGCUCCUCUGACGUUAGCGGCGGACGGGUGAGUAACACGUGGAUAACCUACCUAUAAGACUGGGAUAACUUCGGGAAACCGGAGCUAAUACCGGAUAAUAUAUUGAACCGCAUGGUUCAAUAGUGAAAGACGGUUUUGCUGUCACUUAUAGAUGGAUCCGCGCCGCAUUAGCUAGUUGGUAAGGUAACGGCUUACCAAGGCGACGAUGCGUAGCCGACCUGAGAGGGUGAUCGGCCACACUGGAACUGAGAUACGGUCCAGACUCCUACGGGAGGCAGCAGUAGGGAAUCUUCCGCAAUGGGCGAAAGCCUGACGGAGCAACGCCGCGUGAGUGAUGAAGGUCUUCGGAUCGUAAAACUCUGUUAUUAGGGAAGAACAAAUGUGUAAGUAACUAUGCACGUCUUGACGGUACCUAAUCAGAAAGCCACGGCUAACUACGUG